rnacentral:miRNA from 2 species
UUCUUGUGCUGCUGAAGAGAC